rnacentral:rRNA from 1 species
AUACAGGUCUCUUUCGAGGCCCUGUAAUUGGAAUGAGCGUAUCCUAAACCCAAUGGGCGAGGAACAAUUGGAGGGCAAGUCUGGUGCCAGCAGCCGCGGUAAUUCCAGCUCCAAUAGCGUAUAUUAAAGUUGCUGCAGUUAAAAAGCUCGUAGUUGGAUCUCGGGAGUGGGCUGGCGGUCCGCCGCGAGGCGAGCCACCGCCUGUCCCGGACCCUGCCUCCCGGCGCCCCCCGGAUGCCCUUAGCUGUGUCCGGUACCUCGGGGCCCGGAGCGUUUACUUUGAAAAAAUUAGAGUGUUCAAAGCAGGCCGCCCAGCCGCCGCUGAAUACCGCAGCUUGUAAUGGAAUAGGACUCCGGUUCUAUUUUGUGGGUUUCUGGAACCCGGGGCCAUGAUUGAGAGGGACGGCCGGGGGCCAUUCGUAUUGCGCCGCUAGAGGUGAAAUUCUUGGACCGGCGCAAGACGGACGAAAGCGAAAGCAUUUGCCAAGAAUGUUUUCAUUAUUAAGAACGAAAGUCGGAGGUUCCGAAGACGAUCAGAUACCGUCGUAGUUCCGACCGUAAACGACGCCGACCCGCGAUCCGGCGGCGUUAUUCCCAUGACCCGCCGGGCAGCGUGCGGGAAACCACGAGUCUUUGGGUUCCGGGGGGGUAUGGUUUGCAAAGCUGAAACCUUAAAGGAAUUGACGGAAGGGCACCACCAGGAGUGGAGCCUGCGGCUUAAUUUGACUCAACACGGGAAACCUCACCCGGCCCGGACACUGGAAGGUUUGACAGAUUGAGAGCUCUUUCUUGAUUCUGUGGGUGGUGGUGCAUGGCCGUUCUUAGUUGGUGGAGCGAUUUGUCUGGUUCAUUCCGAUAACGAACGAGACUCCGGCAUGCUAAAUAGUUACGCGGCCCCGCGCGGUCGGCGUCCCAACUUCUUAGAGGGACAAGUGGCGUUCAGCCACGCGAGAUGGGUGGAGUGAUUUGUCUGGUUAAUUCCGAUAACGAACGAGACUCUAGCCUACUAAAUAGAUCUUGGCAUUUUUUAACUGUCAAGAAUGCUUCUUAGAGGGACAAACGGCGUUUCAGCCGUAUGAAAAAGAGCAAUAACAGGUCUGUGAUGCCCUUAGAUGUCCGGGGCUGCACGCGCGCCACAAUGGGCGGAUCAACGUGUGCCUACCCUGCGCCGAGAGGCGCGGGUAACCCGUUGGAACCCCGCUCGUGAUUGGGACUGGGGCUUGAAACUGUUUCCCAUCAACGAGGAAUUCCCAGUAAGCGCAGGUCAUAAGCUUGCGUUGAUUAAGUCCCUGCCCUUUGUACACACCGCCCGUCGCUUACUACCGAUUGGAUGGUUUAGUGAGGUCCUCGGAUCGGCCCCGCCGGGGCUCCUCGCCGGGCCCUGGCGGAGCGCCGAGAAGACGAUCAAACUUGAUCCUCUAGAGGAAGUAAAAGUCGUAACAAGGUUUCCGUAGGUGAACCUGCGGAAG